rnacentral:rRNA from 1 species
CGCACGGGUGCGUAACGCGUGGGAAUCUGCCCUCAGGCACGGAAUAACUCAGGGAAACUUGAGCUAAUACCGUAUAAUGACUUCGGUCCAAAGAUUUAUCGCCUGAGGAUGAGCCCGCGUCGGAUUAGCUAGUUGGUGAGGUAAAAGCUCACCAAGGCGACGAUCCGUAGCUGGUCUGAGAGGAUGAUCAGCCACAUUGGGACUGAGACACGGCCCAA